GCGGCGUACGGGUGCGGAACACGUGUGCACNUACCUUUAUCUGGGGGAUAGCCUUUCGAAAGGAAGAUUAAUACCCCAUAAUAUGUCUGAAUGGCAUCAUUCGACCAUUGAAAACUCCGGUGGAUAGAGAUGGGCACGCGCAAGAUUAGAUAGUUGGUGAGGUAACGGUCACCAAGUCUACGAUCUUUAGGGGGCCUGAGAGGGUGAUCCCCCACACUGGUACUGAGACACGGACCAGACUCNUACGGGAGGCAGCAGUGAGGAAUAUUGGACAAUGGGUGAGAGCCUGAUCCAGCCAUCCCGCUGUGAAGGACGACUGCCCUAUGGGUUGUAGACUUCUUUUGUAUAGGGAUAAACCUACCCUCGUGAGGGUAGCUGAAGGUACUAUACGAAUAAAGCACCGGUAACUCCGUGCCAGAAGCCGGGNAACUACGGAAGGGUGCAAGCGGUUUAUUCCCCGGGAUUUAAUAUGGGGGUUUCAACGGGGGUCCCGUAAGGCGGGGAUUCUUGUAAGUUCAGGUGGGUUGAAAAUCUUCACAGGUUUUAUUGGUGGAAAAAUUGGGCCAUUGGAAUCACUGGAGGGUCCUUGGAAGUGGUAGG
rnacentral:rRNA from 1 species